CUUUCAACAACGGAUCUCUUGGUUCUGGCAUCGAUGAAGAACGCAGCGAAAUGCGAUAAGUAAUGUGAAUUGCAGAAUUCAGUGAAUCAUCGAAUCUUUGAACGCACAUUGCGCCCCUUGGUAUUCCGAGGGGCAUNCCUGUUCGAGCGUCAUU
rnacentral:rRNA from 1 species